UAGGAAACCAGUUCCAAGGGACUCAGCUAAGCCACUCAGAGAAAAAAAGACCUGAGCUUUAUUCGGAGAGGAAAAAAAAAAAAAAUGGUCACUGGAUAGAUGGUCCCUUUGGAUCACGUGCUCAUCCCUGGCCCAGUCAGCUGUGAUCAGAGGAGCAAGACCGUGAGAUAAGGCUUGAAACCUAAGGAAUUUCAAAGAGGGGGCCAUGAUGGGCAUUCAGCGGCAUCUCAGGAGGGGGCAGAGUAACCAGCAGAUUGGGAAACCCAGGUAACAGUGCAUAGAUGAAUUGCCUAAGGUUCUGCUUCUAGUUGGUGUCCUGCGAAUCAGUUCAGCCCAGAGAACUCAUCACUACCAGGCCCAG
rnacentral:lncRNA from 1 species